rnacentral:tRNA from 1 species
GGAAGAGUGGCAGAGUGGUCGAUUGCACCGGUCUUGAAAACCGGAGACUCGCAAGGGUCCGAGAGUUCGAAUCUCUCCUCUUCCG